UGACUNGAGUGCAGAAGGGGAGAGUGGAAUUCCAUGUGUAGCGGUGAAAUGCGUAGAUAUAUGGGGGAACACCAGUGGCGAAAGCGGCUCUCUGGUCUGUCACUGACGCUGAGGCUCGAAAGCGUGGGUAGCGAACAGGAUUAGAUACCCUGGUAGUCCACGCCGUAAACGAUGAGUGCUAGGUGUUAGGCCCUUUCCGGGGCUUAGUGCCGGAGCUAACGCAAUAAGCACUCCGCCUGGGGAGUACGACCGCAAGGUUGAAACUCAAAGGAAUUGACGGGGGCCCGCACAAGCGGUGGAGCAUGUGGUUUAAUUCGAAGCAACGCGAAGAACCUUACCAGGUCUUGACAUCCCGAUGCUAUUCUUAGAGAUAGGAAGUUACUUCGGUACAUCGGAGACAGGUGGUGCAUGGUUGUCGUCAGCUCGUGUCGUGAGAUGUUGGGUUAGGUCCCGCAACGAGCGCAACCCUUAUUGUUAGUUGCCAUCAUUAAGUUGGGCACUCUAGCGAGACUGCCGGUAAUAAACCGGAGGAAGGUGGGGAUGACGUCAAAUCAUCAUGCCCCUUAUGACCUGGGCUACACACGUGCUACAAUGGUCGGUACAACGAGUUGCGAGCCGGUGACGGCAAGCUAAUCUCUGAAAGCCGAUCUCAGUUCGGAUUGGAGGCUGCAA
rnacentral:rRNA from 1 species